rnacentral:misc_RNA from 1 species
AACCUAGCACACCUGCGGUGUGUACCUGCGGAGGGAUCAUUACAAGUGACCCCGGUUUACCACCGGGAUGUUCAUAACCCUUUGUUGUCCGACUCUGUUGCCUCCGGGGCGACCCUGCCUUCGGGCGGGGGCUCCGGGUGGACACUUCAAACUCUUGCGUAACUUUGCAGUCUGAGUAAACUUAAUUAAUAAAUUAAAACUUUCAGCAAUGGAUCU